rnacentral:lncRNA from 1 species
AGAAGCCUUUACCACUGACCAGAGGAAUGGAUGAUGCCUCCCUUGGUUCCCAGGACUGAGUGCUCCUUCCUUGGACAGCUUCUGCUGGGGAUGUUUUUUCCUCCAGUUGAAGAAUCACUACGUAGUGAUGUUGCUAUACCCCUCAACCACUUUUCUCACUCACAGGCCCCAGAGAAAGCACAUCCAUGCUAUUGACUUCAGGCCCACUUAACUCAUGGGAGAACCCUGAUGUUCAGUGACAGCAUGUGUGAGAAGCCACACUCAAGGGGCCAAUCCCAGUGAAGAGCUAGGACACCACAGCUCUGGACCAGGCCUGAUACUUAUGAUGGAAUGCAGGAAACACUACCCUAAAAUAUGGCAUCUUGGCACAUCGAAUGUUGCCUUUUCCAAAACUACCUAUGGCCUGCCCCACCUCCCCAUCCUGUGCCUAUAAAGACCCAGACUCAGUCGGUAGAGAGGAUAAGCAGCUGGACAUCAGGGAGAGGCAACUUGACUUCAGAGACAGCGGCUGGAUGAGGCAGAGGUGGCUUAACUUCAGGGUAGAGUGACCUGCCCUUCCCAUCCUUUUUCCAGCUCCCCUCUCCGCUGACAGCGACUUUCAUUGCUCAAUAAAAUUCUCCACAUUCACCAUCCU